GACGAGCCUCACAAACGUUAUUCGGAAUUACUGGGCUUAAAGGGUGCGUAGGCGGCGCGGCAAGUUGGGUGUGAAAUCCCUCGGCUCAACCGAGGAACAGCGCUCAAAACUACCGUGCUCGAGGGAGAUAGAGGAAUGCGGAACUUACGGUGGAGCGGUGAAAUGCGUUGAUAUCGUAGGGAACACCGGUGGCGAAAGCGGCAUUCUGGAUCUCUUCUGACGCUGAUGCACGAAAGCUAGGGUAGCAAACGGG
rnacentral:rRNA from 1 species